rnacentral:rRNA from 1 species
UACGUAGGCAGCGAGCGUUGUUCGGAGUUACUGGGCGUAAAGGGUGUGUAGGCGGUUCUUUAAGUUUGGUGUGAAAUCUCCCGGCUCAACCGGGAGGGUGCGCCGAAUACUGAGGGACUAGAGUGCGGGAGAGGAAAGUGGAAUUCCUGGUGUAGCGGUGAAAUGCGUAGAUAUCAGGAGGAACACCGGUGGUGUAGACGGCUUUCUGGACCGUAACUGACGCUGAGACACGAAAGCGUGGGUAGCAAACAGG